rnacentral:lncRNA from 1 species
GAUGUUGACAUUUUCCAGACUUUCAAGCAUUUCUUCCCUGUUUUUGCUGAUAAAAGUACUGAAUUGUAUUAGAAAUUGACGUUCUUUUAUUGGGUAAAACAAUCUACCGAAAUUCUAAUGUUCAGUCUUCUGAAAUUAGUUCAAAAUGUUAUAAAAUUUGUGGCAACGGAUCUUUAUGAUCCGUUUCCAACACGGUCUUUUAAUUCUAUCUGGAGCUUAUUGUAUACUCUUUUAUACUCAAUAAAAUGAAAUGAGCAAUUAAAAAAUGAUGAACUGUUUAUUCA